UCCGCGCUGCCCUCAAACCAAAGCACGCAGACUGUUUUUAUUUAUAGGCUGUUUCAACUUCAAUUUCAAAUGAUUUUCUAACAAGUUUUUAUUUUCUAAGAACAGUUUGAAUUUAGGUGUGUUCCGCCUCCUCAAUCAUUCACAUAAAAAUAGUCAUUUUUACUUUUGCGGACAAUUACAUUUUUGGGACAUUUCUGACCCGGACAAAAUUCCCCAAGCACUUUCCAAUUGUUUGUGCAGUUCAAGUCUGCAGACAUUUGCUAAUCUCCCGUCAGAAAAGGAUCUGCACACGUGUUCACAUUUUCCAUCUGUUGCCCUCAUUGUUUUCGUUACUAAUAAUAACUUUGGAAAUGUGUGCGUUUCUAUCAAAUGGCGCAGCGGUCAAAGGCACAGCACGGUGCUAGAGACGUCACUACAGACUCCCUGGUUCAAAUCCAUGCUGCGUUUCUAAAAACCACAAACAGUAUUUGCCAAUAUCAUAACUGGACAUCUUUCGAGCUGAAGAUUGAGGACAGCUUUUGUAUGCUAACGUUCUCUCCUUAACAGUUUUACUGGAUGGAAACACAGCAAGAAAACACAUAGGCCAAUAUUGACUGAACAACAACUGCAUUUCCACCCCCACCUCUAAAGGCAUAGUAUCAUGGCAGGUCACCUGUCAAGUCACCUGUCAGGUCAGUCAGUCACUUAUUGCUGCAGAUGUGCUCAAUAAUGCUUGAGCAUGUGAUACUCCUCAAAGCAUGGUGAAAUACAUAGAGGUGUAUCACAAGCUAAACACAUGUAUUUUGUCAUCUUCCUCUGCUUACGUCUCCUGGCGCCAGACAGGCAGACUUUGCAGUGCCUCCGUGUGCGACUACCUUGAGCAGCAGUUUGAGGGACUUUGCAGGGAAAAUGCCGUGCAGUGAGGCGUAGGGGAUUGUCUAAAGCAGGGCGACCCCCAGUGGAGGGGCGCCGAGGGGUGUGGUGCUCCUCCAACAGCUCUCUCAUGAGGUUCUCUCUGUAUUUUUGGUGGUCCACCUUCC